rnacentral:rRNA from 1 species
UUAAAUUGAAGAGUUUGAUCAUGGCUCAGAUUGAACGCUGGCGGCAGGCCUAACACAUGCAAGUCGAGCGGUAGCACAGAGAGCUUGCUCUCGGGUGACGAGCGGCGGACGGGUGAGUAAUGUCUGGGAAACUGCCUGAUGGAGGGGGAUAACUACUGGAAACGGUAGCUAAUACCGCAUAAUGUCGCAAGACCAAAGUGGGGGACCUUCGGGCCUCAUGCCAUCAGAUGUGCCCAGAUGGGAUUAGCUAGUAGGUGGGGUAACGGCUCACCUAGGCGACGAUCCCUAGCUGGUCUGAGAGGAUGACCAGCCACACUGGAACUGAGACACGGUCCAGACUCCUACGGGAGGCAGCAGUGGGGAAUAUUGCACAAUGGGCGCAAGCCUGAUGCAGCCAUGCCGCGUGUGUGAAGAAGGCCUUCGGGUUGUAAAGCACUUUCAGCGGGGAGGAAGGCGUUAAGGUUAAUAACCUUGCGAUUGACGUUACCCGCAGAAGAAGCACCGGCUAACUCCGUGCCAGCAGCCGCGGUAAUACGGAGGGUGCAAGCGUUAAUCGGAAUUACUGGGCGUAAAGCGCACGCAGGCGGUCUGUCAAGUCGGAUGUGAAAUCCCCGGGCUCAACCUGGGAACUGCAUUCGAAACUGGCAGGCUAGAGUCUUGUAGAGGGGGGUAGAAUUCCAGGUGUAGCGGUGAAAUGCGUAGAGAUCUGGAGGAAUACCGGUGGCGAAGGCGGCCCCCUGGACAAAGACUGACGCUCAGGUGCGAAAGCGUGGGGAGCAAACAGGAUUAGAUACCCUGGUAGUCCACGCCGUAAACGAUGUCGAUUUGGAGGUUGUGCCCUUGAGGCGUGGCUUCCGGAGCUAACGCGUUAAAUCGACCGCCUGGGGAGUACGGCCGCAAGGUUAAAACUCAAAUGAAUUGACGGGGGCCCGCACAAGCGGUGGAGCAUGUGGUUUAAUUCGAUGCAACGCGAAGAACCUUACCUGGUCUUGACAUCCACAGAACUUUCCAGAGAUGGAUUGGUGCCUUCGGGAACUGUGAGACAGGUGCUGCAUGGCUGUCGUCAGCUCGUGUUGUGAAAUGUUGGGUUAAGUCCCGCAACGAGCGCAACCCUUAUCCUUUGUUGCCAGCGGUCCGGCCGGGAACUCAAAGGAGACUGCCAGUGAUAAACUGGAGGAAGGUGGGGAUGACGUCAAGUCAUCAUGGCCCUUACGACCAGGGCUACACACGUGCUACAAUGGCAUAUACAAAGAGAAGCGACCUCGCGAGAGCAAGCGGACCUCAUAAAGUAUGUCGUAGUCCGGAUUGGAGUCUGCAACUCGACUCCAUGAAGUCGGAAUCGCUAGUAAUCGUAGAUCAGAAUGCUACGGUGAAUACGUUCCCGGGCCUUGUACACACCGCCCGUCACACCAUGGGAGUGGGUUGCAAAAGAAGUAGGUAGCUUAACCUUCGGGAGGGCGCUUACCACUUUGUGAUUCAUGACUGGGGUGAAGUCGUAACAAGGUAACCGUAGGGGAACCUGCGGUUGGAUCACCUCCUUA